GGUCCCAAGGGUCCGGCUGUUCGCCGGUUAAAGCGGCACGCGAGCUGGGUUCAGAACGUCGCGAGACAGUUCGGUCCUCUAUCCUCUGUGGGCGUAGGAGAAUUGAGGGGUUCACUUUCUAGUACGAGAGGACCGAAAGUGACGCACCUCUGGUGUUCCAGUUGUUCUGUCAAGAGCAUUGCUGGGUAGCUAAGUGCGGAAGAGAUAAGCGCUGAAAGCAUCUAAGCGCCAAGCUCCUCCCAAGAUAAAUUCUCCCUGAGGAUCGUGGUAGACCACCACGUUGAUAGGCUGGCGGUGUAAGUGCAGUAAUGCAUUAAGCUCACCAGUACUAAUCAUCCGAUUGGCUUGAUUCCUCUC
rnacentral:rRNA from 1 species